AGUGAACGCUGGCGGUAGGCCUAACACAUGCAAGUCGAACGGCAGCACAGGAGAGCUUGCUCUCUGGGUGGCGAGUGGCGGACGGGUGAGGAAUACAUCGGAAUCUACUCUGUCGUGGGGGAUAACGUAGGGAAACUUACGCUAAUACCGCAUACGACCUGCGGGUGAAAGCAGGGGACCUUCGGGCCUUGCGCGAUUGAAUGAGCCGAUGUCGGAAUAGCUAGUUGGCGGGGUAAAGGCCCACCAAGGCGACGAUCCGUAGCUGGGCUGAGAGGAUGAUCAGCCACACUGGAACUGAGACACGGUCCAGACUCCUACGGGAGGCAGCAGUGGGGAAUAUUGGACAAUGGGCGCAAGCCUGAUCCAGCCAUACCGCGUGGGUGAAGAAGGCCUCGGGUUGUAAAGCCCUUUUGUUGGGAAAGAAAUCCAGCUGGCUAAUACCCGGUUGGGAUGACGGUACCCAAAGAAUAAGCACCGGCUAACUUCGUGCCAGCAGCCGCCGUAA
rnacentral:rRNA from 1 species